rnacentral:rRNA from 1 species
AUUGAACGCUGGCGGCAGGCCUAACACAUGCAAGUCGUACGGUAACAGGAAGCAGCUUGCUGCUUUGCUGACGAGUGGCGGACGGGUGAGUAAUGUCUGGGAAACUGCCUGAUGGAGGGGGAUAACUACUGGAAACGGUAGCUAAUACCGCAUAACGUCGCAAGACCAAAGAGGGGGACCUUCGGGCCUCUUGCCAUCGGAUGUGCCCAGAUGGGAUUAGCUAGUAGGUGGGGUAACGGCUCACCUAGGCGACGAUCCCUAGCUGGUCUGAGAGGAUGACCAGCCACACUGGAACUGAGACACGGUCCAGACUCCUACGGGAGGCAGCAGUGGGGAAUAUUGCACAAUGGGCGCAAGCCUGAUGCAGCCAUGCCGAGUGUAUGAAGAAGGCCUUCGGGUUGUAAAGUACUUUCAGCGGGGAGGAAGGGAGUAAAGUUAAUACCUUUGCUCAUUGACGUUACCCGCAGAAGAAGCACCGGCUAACUCCGUG